rnacentral:rRNA from 1 species
GCAGGGAAUCUUGCGCAAUGGGCUAAAAGGCCUGACGCAGCGACACCGCGUGGGGGAAGAAGGCUUUAGGGUCGUAAACCCCUUUUCUCGGGGAAGAGUGAGGACGGUACCCGAGGAAUAAGCCUCGGCUAACUACGUGCCAGCAGCCGCGGUAAUACGUAGGAGGCGAGCGUUGUCCGGAUUUACUGGGCGUAAAGGGCGAGUAGGCGGCCCGCUAAGUCUCGUGUGAAAUCUCCCGGCUCAACUGGGAGGGGCCACGGGAAACUAAUGGGCUUGAGGGCAGCAGAGGAAAGUGGAAUUCCCGGAGUAGCGGUGAUAUGCGUAGAUACCGGGAGGAACACCAGAGGCGAAGGCGACUUUCUGGGCUGCCCCUGACGCUGAGGCGCGAAAGCAUGGGGAGCAAACCGG